UUGUCGUCAGCUCGUGUCGUGAGAUGUUGGUUAAGUCCCGCAACGAGCGCAACCCUUAUUGCUAGUUACCAUCAUUGAGUUGGGGACUCUAGCGAGACUGCCAGUGAUAAACUGGAGGAAGGUGGGGAUGACGUCAAAUCAUCAUGCCCCUUAUGACCUGGGCUACAAACGUGAUACAAUGGCUGAAACAGAGGGAGGCGAAGGGGUGACCUGGAGCGAAACCCAGAAAAACAGUCUCAGUUCGGAUUGAAGUCUGCAACUCGACUUCAUGAAGUCGGAAUCGCUAGUAAUCGCGGAUCAGAACGCCGCGGUGAAUACGUUCUCGGGGUUU
rnacentral:rRNA from 1 species